rnacentral:rRNA from 1 species
CAGUAGCCACGGGAAUACAGAGGGUGCGAGCGUUAAUCGGAUUUACUGGGCGUAAAGCGUGCGUAGGCGGCUUUUUAAGUCGGAUGUGAAAUCCCUGAGCUUAACUUAGGAAUUGCAUUCGAUACUGGGAAGCUAGAGUAUGGGAGAGGAUGGUAGAAUUCCAGGUGUAGCGGUGAAAUGCGUAGAGAUCUGGAGGAAUACCGAUGGCGAAGGCAGCCAUCUGGCCUAACACUGACGCUGAGGUACGAAAGCAUGGGGAGCAAACAGGAUUAGAUACCCCAGUAGUCCCUGUCUCUUAUAC